GCUGAGGUAGCCUAGCUCGGCCAAGGCGCCAGAUUCGAGAUCUGGUGGUGCGUAUGCAUCGCGGGAGUUCAAAGGGGACCCGGCCACCUGUCCGGGUCUCGGAAGCUCUCCCCCUCAGCG
rnacentral:tRNA from 1 species